ACUACGGGUGGCAGCAGUAGGGAAUCUUUCACAAUGGGCGAAAGCCUGAUGGAGCAACGCCGCGUGCAGGAUGAAGGCCUUCGGGUUGUAAACUGCUUUUAUAAGCGAGAAAUAUGAUGGUAACUUAUGACUAAGGAUCGGCUAACUACGUGCCAGCAGCCGCGGUCAUACGUAGGAUCCGAGCAUUAUCCGGAGUGACUGGGUGUAAAGAGUUGCGUAGGUGGCAUAAUAAGUAGCUAGUGAAAUCUGGUGGCUCAACCAUUCAGACUAUUAGCUAAACUGUUAAGCUCGAGACCGGUAGGGGUAACUGGAAUUUCUAGUGUAGGAGUGAAAUCCGUAGAUAUUAGAAAGAACACCGAUAGCGUAGGCAGGUUACUGGGACGGUUCUGACACUAAGGCACGAAAGCGUAGGGAGCAAACGGGAUUAGAUACCCCGGUAGUC
rnacentral:rRNA from 1 species